GCAGAGAGAGAGAGAGAGAGAGAGAGAGAGAGGAAGA
rnacentral:sRNA from 1 species